AUUGAACGCUGGCGGCAUGCUUUACACAUGCAAGUCGAACGGCAGCACGGGUGCUUGCACCUGGUGGCGAGUGGCGAACGGGUGAGUAAUACAUCGGAACGUACCUGAUAGUGGGGGAUAACGCUUCGAAAGGAGUGCUAAUACCGCAUACGCCCUUCGGGGGAAAGAUUUAUUGCUGCAAGAUGAGCCUGCGUCAGAUUAGCUAGUUGGUGGGGUAAAGGCCUACCAAGGCGAAGAUCUGUAGCUGUUCUGAGAGGAAGAUCAGCCACACUGGGACUGAGACACGGCCCAGACUCCUACGGGAGGCAGCAGUGGGGGAUAUUGGACAAUGGGGGCAACCCUGAUCCAGCAAUGCCACGUGUGUGAAGAAGGCCUGCGGGUUGUAAAGCACUUUCAGAAGGGAAGAAGGACACGCGAGUGUUUUGACAUUACUUUCAGAAGAAGCACCGGCUAACUCUGUGCCAGCAGCCGCAGUAA
rnacentral:rRNA from 1 species